rnacentral:rRNA from 1 species
GACGAACGCUGGCGGCGUGCUUAACACAUGCAAGUCGAACGGAAAGGCCCUGCUUUUGUUGGGUGCUCGAGUGGCGAACGGGUGAGUAACACGUGAGUAACCUGCCCUUGACUUUGGGAUAACUUCACGAAACUGGGGCUCAUACCGGAUAGGAUCUCCUGCUGCAUGGUGGUGGUUGGAAAGUUUCGGCGGUUGUGGAUGGACUCGCGGCUUAUCAGCUUGUUUGUGGGGUAGUGGCUUACCAAGGCUUUGACGGGUAGCCGGCCUGAGAGGGUUACCGGCCACAUUGGGACUGAGACACGGCCCAGACUCCUACGGGAGGCAGCAGUGGGGAAUAUUGCACAAUGGGCGGAAGCCUGAUGCAGCAACGCCGCGUGCGGGAUGACGGCCUUCGGGUUGUAAACCGAUUUCGACUGUGACGAAGAGUGAGUGACGGUAAUGGGUAAAGAAGCAACGGCUAACUACGUG